GACGAACGCUGGCGGCGUGCCUAAUACAUGCAAGUCGAACGAGAGCGACCGGUGCUUGCACUGGUCAAUCUAGUGGCGAACGGGUGAGUAACACGUGGGUAACCUGCCCAUCAGAGGGGGAUAACAUCCGGAAACGGAUGCUAAAACCGCAUAGGUCUUCGAGCCGCAUGGCUUGAAGAGGAAAAGAGGCGCAAGCUUCUGCUGAUGGAUGGACCCGCGGUGCAUUAGCUAGUUGGUGAGGUAACGGCUCACCAAGGCCGUGAUGCAUAGCCGACCUGAGAGGGUGAUCGGCCACAUUGGGACUGAGACACGGCCCAAACUCCUACGGGAGGCAGCAGUAGGGAAUCUUCCGCAAUGGACGCGAGUCUGACGGAGCAACGCCGCGUGAGUGAAGAAGGUUUUCGGAUCGUAAAACUCUGUUGUUAGAGAAGAACAAGUGCUAGAGUAACUGUUAGCGCCUUGACGGUAUCUAACCAGAAAGCCACGGCUAACUACGUG
rnacentral:rRNA from 1 species